rnacentral:lncRNA from 1 species
UAAGUAACUCUUUACAGAAAGAAAACAAGCUUAUGAUCAAUAUUUUUCGAGGGAAGUUUACAAUAACCCCCUGAUUAUUUAGUCAUCAACAUUAUUUAUUCUGUAAUAAUAAUAAUAACAACAUUGAGAAACAUUGAUCCCCAAAUCCUUAAAUCAAGGCUCCAAGGGUUGGUUAUUGACAUGGAUGCAGCCGCAACAUCCUCCGAUACAGAUAGAGAUAGUACCAUUUGAACAUGGUUUCAUUUUCACACAAUCCGAAUCUUUCUUACAUGUUAUGUCGGGGUAGUCUUCUUGUGCCCAAAUCAUAUCUGCGAGAGAUUCAGAGGAGAAAAAUGUAACAGAGAGAGGUAACUUACUCGAGGAAAUAAUUAAGAUUGGGAAGAUCGAUGAACAUAAUGAGAUGUCAAUGUUUCUCAUUUUUCACUUUCGACAAGCAUGUGGUUGUGCCGAGACUCGAACACGAAAAUGAGGAGGGCAAGCAAUCUACUCGAUUAGCAAUAUAUAGCUGUAUUUAUAUGGGCCAAUAGUUUUUUGUGACGAAUUUUGAUUUGGUUGACUAUAAACAGAAAGUAUGCACUGUAUUAGAUUUAACAAUUCAUUGCUAGAUUCUGUAGCAUUUAUUACAUUAGUAUUUUUACCAUAUUUGUUUGGGUUGUAAUCUGAUGAAUGAAAUUCUUGUGCAUUUGUCUAUAGGUUUUUUACGAAUCGAGUCGAGCCAUAUUUUUUGUACUCAAGUUUGGUUCGUUAUAUUUAGGCGAGCUCGUGUCGAACUUGUUAAUUACCAUUAAUGAGCCAAAUUCGAGCUCAAUUUGAACUUCACUCGUUAAAACCUCUCGAUCAGUCUAAUUUUGAGAUGAAUAUAAACCUUGUAUACUUAAAAACAUUGACAAGUCAAGUUCAAAAACAUGAUCCUAAAAAUUUACAAAUUUUUACUUUUCUCAUUUAAAAUAGUUAAGCGUAAACAAUAUAUCGCUUGUGUUUUUGUUAGCACAAGCCGCAAGUUAUAUAUAAUAAAUGCUGGAAUCGAACCCAAUAUAUCCUCUUAACCACCUCUUAUAGAAAGAAGAACUAGCUUAUGUACCUUAAUCCCCUGAUUAUUUAGCCAUCAAAUUUAUUCUGCAACAUUGAUCCUUAAUUAAUCCUUAAUUUAUGCUGCAACUUCCCUGCUACAAUCUGCAGGUUCAUAUUAUUUACUAAAGUGGAUGCAAUUGCAUAUGCCGUUUGCCAUACAGACAGAGAUAGUACCAGCCUACCAGGAUGAUCACAUGGUCUUAUGGUCUCGCAAUCCUUAUCGCUUUUGCAGUACGUGUCGCCAUGCACCAUACCUGCAGCCAUUUGGUGAGCGAUUCUUUUAAUAGGAAGAACAGAGAGAUUCAGAAACAGAGAGGUAACUUAACUUACAUGAGGAAAUGAUUAAGAUGAGGAAGAUGGAUGAUGCAGACACUGAGACACUAAUGUUUCUCAUCUUAGUUUUUACUUCAGCUAUCAAUCAAGCUCUGGCAAAGCAAUCUGUUUGAUGAAUGAUAGAGGCCAUAGCUGUGUUUAUAUGGAUAAACACAAACAGAAAAGUGUUCAC